GGAGGAACAAGGGAGUAGUAUUUUUUGUAAAAAGACUUAUAAAUCCCAUUUGCCUUCUUGACUAUAUUGCAUUGAUAAACAGCUGAAGAGAGAAGUCUUUAGUACACUGUAGAUUUGUGUUUCUUUGACUAAGGUUCCAGUUCAUUUGUGUGCAUUUCUUUUUCCCACUUAGAUAUGUUGAUGAUGUGAUCAGCCGCAUUGACAGGAUGUUUCCUGAAAUGUCCAUCCACUUAUCCAGGCCCAAUGGCACAUCAGCAAUGCUUCUGGUAUCAGUUUGUCCAUCUUGGCUGCAGUGGGACCUGCUGCUCAGGGAAGAGGCAGUCAGCAUUGGUCUAGUUUGAUGCCAGAGCUGUCAGAACAGUUACCGCCAUAACUUCUUCUGGCAUCUUUGUGAGCCUUAGGUAAUUGGCUGUAUCUUCUAAACACCACAUCCUAGCUGAUAGGAAAUAUAAAGUUUCAGCCUCUUACAUAAUCUUUAAAUACACUGUGGCUGGCUCUCUGCUCUGUUGGGGGGGGGGUGGGGGCUGUUUUGGUGUUGUGUAAGUUAAUAACUCAUGAUAUAAUAAAUCCUGUUUCCGUUCUUUGAAGGGAUGAGCUCAGCCAUCCAAAAAUAAAUCUAGCUAUGUUGA